UACCCAAAAGUUGUUGACUCGUUGGAUGUUGUUUAUUUUGUUAUGUAGCUGUCACUUGCCUCAUUGUUGCUCUCCAUGGAAACUCUCCAUAACUCAGUGGAAAGAAAUUCCAUGGAAAAGCAAUGGGUGCGUUCCGGAAGAGAUCUGGGUUUGGUGUAUUGUCGUUUAAGUUGGUUGAAUUGUUAAGUUGCAUGUGAAUGAAACUUUGUUUUAUGUCCGUGUUUAGUUUUCAGUAUUGACGGUUGAUGCAUGUCAUUGCAGUGGUUAGGUGGUUCGUAUUCAUACGUUUUGUGGUUACUUGGUUAUUAUGUGUAUGGUUUUUUUUUAAAUGUUCUGGUUUCAUGUGGUUCUGUGUUACAGGUCUCUCCGAUUUCGACCGUGGAACACACCCUUAGUCUUGGGACACUGAUACCCCUAUUCUGUUGGAAGUGUUCUAAUACCUAAGUGGUUUCCCACUAUUUGGGUGUGAUGAUGUUGGUUGGGGGUAUAUGUAUGGAUAGGUGGAUCGGAUGAUGUGUUCCUGUUAGAGAUAGAAUACAUCAUCGGAAUAUUUUUUUUGCCGGUGUGGGUGGGAUGAUAAUUUCAGCACUCCCUCAUUUGGCCAUCUACCACACAGUGGAUUAAAAAAAAGAGUGAUAGUGGUAAAAUUAAAUUCAAAUAUCCGAAAAAAGAAACAGUUGGACCAGCAAAGAAAGAAAAGAUAUUUAAGAAAGUGAAAUAAGUGGAAUGUUAAUUGGUGCCAACAAUUUUGGAAAAACAAAAGAACCCAGCAAACAACAAGUAAAGUUUGAUUCCCGGCGGCCCGAAUUAAAUUAUGGAGAGCGGGGCCGCCGCCCAAAAAAAAAAAAAAAAACAAAAUUUUUGAAAUUCAAUAAAAUUCAAAAACAGAAAAAAUUUGAAAUUAAAUAAAAUUCAAAAAAAAAAUUUAGAAUACAAAGUUGAAAUUAAAUAAAAUUUAAAAACUGAAAAAAAACGAAUGAAGGAGAAUUGGAAAUUAAAGGAAAUUUAAAUCAAAAAAACUUGAAAGAAAAGGAAAUUUAUACGGGAACCAAAUUGAGAAGAAAACAAAACAAUCAAUUUAUAAAUUUGGCCCACAACAUAGACGUACAUCUCCAUAUCAUAUAUUUCAAAGUACCUAACCGGUGGAUCUUUUUGUGUUUGUGAUUGUCCUAUAUUUAAGUUUUUUUUGAAAUUCAACAAAUUAAAUCGUUAAUUAAUUCAUCGGCGUGGAUGUUAUUU